rnacentral:rRNA from 1 species
GACGAACGCUGGCGGCGUGCCUAAUACAUGCAAGUCGAGCGGACAGAAGGGAGCUUGCUCCCGGAAGUUAGCGGCGGACGGGUGAGUAACACGUGGGCAACCUACCCUGUAGAUCGGGAUAACAUCGAGAAAUCGGUGCUAAUACCGGAUAAUCAUUUGAAGUGCAUGCUUCGAAUGUAAAAGAUGGCUCCGGCUAUCACUACGGGAUGGGCCCGCGGCGCAUUAGCUAGUUGGUAAGGUAAUGGCUUACCAAGGCAACGAUGCGUAGCCGACCUGAGAGGGUGCUCGGCCACACUGGGACUGAGACACGGCCCAGACUCCUACGGGAGGUAGCAGUAGGGAAUCUUCCGCAAUGGACGAAAGUCUGACGGAGCAACGCCGCGUGAGUGAUGAAGGUUUUCGGAUCGUAAGGCUCUGUUGUUAGGGAAGAACAAGUGCCGUUUGAAUAAGGCGGCACCUUGACGGUACCUAACCAGAAAGCCACGGCUAACUACGUGCCAGCCGCCGCCGUAACAC